GCCACUGCGCUGUGCUUAUCUUUCUUCUCCAUUAGCCUGCAGUAAGUAGAGAAUAAAUUUUACAGCAUUUAUCAUUUGCUUAGCUGGAUCCCUGAACUUGCCUCCCUGGGAUAAGACACCAUGACCACACAGAAAUCCAGCCAGAUAAUGGGAAGGUGUGCGUUGGCCUCUCACUGCACGGCUAUGGGCUCCUGUUUAUGUGGCUUUAGUAGAUGAUUUCAUCCUCUUUUCUGACUUGGAACCAGACAACUUUACAUUCUCAGCAAACAGAUGGACAACAGGGUUGAAAUAAGAUCUUGUACUGAAAUAGUCCUUGAGUCAUACUCCUUGACUGUUCUCUCAUACGGGAAACUUGCCUCUUCCUUCUUGCAGAAGGCCAAGGCUGAGAAUUCAGUGUACUCAGAGUUCUUGGACUCUUUUCUCAAUAUAUGUUAUGUUGGAUAUUUUUCUUCUUGGUCAAGAUUGAGAGUCUGCCAAUAUAAGAAUAUUAUCUAAUUUGUUUUGGCAGAACACCUGGCCUUUUGCCCUAAGUCGAUGUUUAAAAAUAGAACUAAAAGUUUUACAUUAACUUGUUUUUGUCCUCUUUCCAGAAAAGAUCCUGACAUGAGAAAAAAGGGGAGCUUGAUUUUACCUAUAACUUUAUUUGGGAAGCAGGGGUGCUGUAGUUCAGGGGCGUCCAAUCUUUCGGCUUCCCUGGGCCACACUGGAAGAAGAAAAGUUUUCUCGGACCACACAUAAAAUACACUAACAUUAAUGACAGCCGAUGAGCUAAAAAAAAUUGAAAAAAAAAUCGUAUAAUGUUUUAAGAAAGUUUACAAAUUUGUGUUAGGCUGCAUUCAAAACCAUCUUGGGUCACAGGGCUAAAGGCUGUACAAGCUUGCUCUAGCUGAAACUCACUUGACUUGGUCAUUGGGUUCUAGUGCACAUUGUGCCAGUAACUGUGUGACCUCGGAAAGUCAGUUGUCUUUCAAUGCUCAGUUUCCCCAUCUGUAAAAUGGGAAUGAUAAAACCUCAACUGAAGGGUUGUUGUAAGUAUUAAAUGAAAUGACAUUUGUAAAAGUAUUCAGAUGAGAUAACAUUGCUGUAUUAACAUAGAUUUUUUUUAAGGUACAAAAAGAAUUAUAUUAAAACAGUAACAUACAUUUGUAUGUAUGAGGGAGGGAUAUUUAAAAUUAAAAUAUUAUAUAAUCACAAGAAAGACCAGAUAUUCCUUGCUCUGCCAUUGGGCAUCCAAGAAAAGUAAAGCCUGUUUUAUAUCCCCAAAAUAAAAAAGAGACUUGAUAGAAGUAACAGUGGUUGGAACCCAAGUCAAUUUAUACUCUUGUUAGAUAAGUCCAAAUCCUAAAGUCUACAAAAAUCCUGUUAAAUCAAGGGGAAAAUUCAUUUUAGGAUAAAGUUAUUCAAGAUGAAAGAAAGGCAUGUCUUCAGUGAGAGAACUGCCUGCUGUCGGAUGAUUUCUUGCUAAUGUGUUUGAAGAUUUUGAACUUCUCAAUUUUCUUGGUUUUCCGGUAGCCAAAUCUACCACCACCCCCUCACUUUUUCUGCUUGCCUUCAUUGGAGUUGAUGUUCAGAUCAACAAAGGGAGGUACCUUGAAACCAAAUGACAGAGCAACUGGAGGCAAAUUUAAGUUAUUAGCAUUAAAGAUCUGUUUCAGAGAAUGGGAAUCAUAGGCUCAUAUGUAUGGCUUAUAUGCUUCCUGGGCUGACUUAUGAAGAAAGUAGUUCUUUUCAAUCAGUUUCCCAAGCUGGGACUGAAUGUCAGAAAUUUUAGACCGGGAAAAGUCAAGUUCACUUAAUGGAACCUUGGAUUGUUUCAAGUAGCGAAGAAAACCCAAUUAUUCUGGGCGCAAAAUGAGCAGGGCAUGCCCUCUCCCAAUUCAGAAUCAAAAAACACAAAGAAGAAGAAAAAGAGGAAAAUGCCAAAUGAUGCUGGGCCUGAUACAAAAAAAGCAAAAACUGCAAACAAAGGGGAAUCUGAAGAAGAGAGUGCAGAAACUCCUAAAGAAACAGAAAAUAAUGUGGAGAAGCCAGAUAAUGAUGAAGAUGACAGUGAGGUGCCCAGCCUACCCCGGGACUGACAGGAGCUUUUGAGGAUACUUCAUUUGUUUCUCUAUGUAAUCCUGUCAAUGAAAACACUCUGAAGGCAAUAAAAGAAAUGGGUUUUACAAACAUGACUGAAAUUCAGCAUAAAAGUAUCAGACCACUUCUGGAAGGCAGGGACUUCUAGCAGCUGCAAAAACAGGCAGUGGUAAAAGCCUGGCUUUUCUCAUCCCUGCAGUUGAACUCAUUGUUAAGUUAAAGUUCAUGCCCAGGGAUGGAACGGGAGUCCUUAUUCUCUCACCUGCUAGAGAACUAGCCAUGCAAACUUUUGGUUUGGUGUUCUUAAGGAGCUAAUGACUUGCCAUGUGCAUACUUAUGGGUUGAUAAUGGGUGGCAGUAACAGAUCUGUUGAAGCACAGAAACUUGCUAAUGGGAUCAACAUCAUUGUGGCCACAGCAGGCCGUCUGCUGGACCAUACGCAGAAUACCCCAGGGUUUAUGUAUAAAAACCUGCAGUAUCUGGUUAUUGAUGAAGCUGAUCAUAGCUUGGAUGUUGAGUUUGAAGGGGAAUUAAAGCAAGUUAUUAAACUUUUGCCAACACAUAAACAGACUAUGCUCUUUUCUGCCACCCAAACUUGAAAAGUGGAAGGCCUGGCAAGGAUUUCUCUGAAAAAGGAGCCAUUGUAUGUUGGUGUUGAUGAUGAUAAAGCUAAUGCAACAGUGGAUGGUCUUGAACAGGGAUAUGUUGUUUGUCCUUCCAAAAAGAGAUUCCUUCUGCUCUUUACAUUCCUUAAGAAGAAACGAAAGAAGCAGCUUAUGGUCUUUUCAUCUUGUAUGUCCGUGAAAUGCCACUGUGAGUUGCUGAAGUACAUUGAUUUGCCCGACUUGGCCAUUCAUGGAAAGCAAAAGCAAAAUAAGUGUACAACCACAUUCUUCCAGUUCUGCCACCCAGAUUCAGGAACAUUAUUGUGUACGGAUGUGGCAGCAAUUAAAUAAUUUUGUUUAAUUUUCAGAGAUUAGAACUAUCCCUCCUCUAUAACAAAAUAGUUUGUAAUGAGCAAGAAGUAAUUAAUCUACUUAAAGAUUUACUUAUUCUAAACUAAGUAUAUUUGCUCACUGCCUUUUAUUCAGUCCUUGCUGGAGAGGGGUAAUAAUGUUGACCUGUGAUUCCAUUUUUUUUUUUUUUUGAGACCUGCUUGAUUUAUUCCAAUUUUUUAAUACACAGUGACACAACUGUGAUCCCAAACUGUGCAGAGUUAAAGCCUUCAACUGCAGCUGAGGAGAGGGCAGGAAUGGUACACCUGCGAACAGUGGUGAGUCAGGAAUGAUGGGCAGGGGGCCAUGACCAGGGCAGCCUCCUCCCCAGGGCCAGGGACAGGGGAGUGGCCUGAGGAGCAGGACCCAAGGGUAGCCCAGGGCCGAGGAAGGGGUCAGAGACCUCCCCUUGGCCUAGGUCUGGAGCUCAAAAGUGCCACAUGGCUGAGGGGGCAGCAGCCCGGGAAGGACCAGAGGCAGGGCCUGGAGAGCACCAUUUCCUGGGGGGCUGGGGGCAGGGAGGUGCCCUACAGGUGAAGCCAGGAGGGGCUGCCUGCCCCUGGGGUGGGGGCCGGGCUGGAGCAGGCUGCAGCAAGAAAGACCUGAGGCAGGCACAGGGCCUGAGAGCCUGGGGGGAUGGUGUGGGGGGGCUCCCAGGGCAGCCUGGCCCAGGGAGCAGUCCUGACUCAGCAGAGGAUGCCCAGGGAGGGGCUGCAGAACCCUCAGGACCUCCCCUCGUCUCUCCCUGGAAAGUAGCUGGGGAACCUAUAGUGCAAAUCUGUGGACCACUCAGUUAUGGAGGGAGGCUGUGCCUGAAGGGGGACAUUGGGGUGUGCCCUGUCCAUCACCUCGGCCUCCACCGUCUUCAGUACAGCCGCUUCACGUAAGAGUGCAGGCCAUGGAUGCCAUCCUCGAUCUGGGCCGACAGGGUCUGCUUCUCAAACUCGAGCUCUCCUGAGUACAUCAUGGACCAAAGGACAGACAGACUGUGGCCCCGAUAUCCUGGCAGCUGUGCUGGAUGCCCGCUAUGAGGUAGGGCAUGAACUUCUGAUUGGAAUCUUUGUCUUGGAUGGAACAUGAGACACCCUGCACGAUCUUCACCUUAUCCCCCUCGCUGACGUAUGGUUUCUGGCUGCUGCUGCUUUUCUCCAUGGCAUCCGGUGAGCCCAUGCCCCGGUACUUCUUAAGCCACACCCCGUCUGAGAAGUACUCGCAGGGGGCCUCCAUGGUGGCAGCCAGCAGGGAGCCCAUCAUCACUGUGGAGGCUCCAAGUUCCAGGGCCUUGACCACAUGCUCCACGGUCUGGAUACCGCCAUCCGGCUAUGAUGGGCACACCAAAGUGCCGGGCAUACUCGACCACCUUGUAUACAGCAGUGCCCUGGGGCUGACCGCAGGCCAUCACUUCCUGGGUGAUAUAGAUGGAGCCGCAGCCCAUCCCCACGUGCAGCCUAUCCACACCAGCAUCAAUCAGUUUCUUGCCCUGGGCUACUGUCACCACGUUCCCCCCAAUCACCUGGAGAUUGGGGUACUUCUGUUUGAUGUAAUGCACUAUGGCAAUCUGAUACACCAAGUUCCCUUGGGAUGAGUCCAAGAUUAUAACGUCAAUGCCCACCUGGGUGAGCAGGUCCAGGUGGUAUUUGCCAUCUUUAUGGGUGCCCACAGCUGCCCCCCACAGCAGCUGCUGGUGGGAAUCCUUGGAGGUCAAAGGGUAGUCUCAGUUCUUCUUCAGGUCGGAGCGGGCGAUGAUGGCCACCAGUUCAUUGCGAUCAUUGGAGAUAAGCAGCUUCCCUUUCUUGCUAAGCUGCAAGAUCUCAUUUGCCUCUUUCAACCUCAGGCCUGCUGGAGCCACCACCAGCUCGAUCCUUGGUGUCAUCACCUCACUGAGGAGGGUGCUGUGGUCCUUCUCAGCAAGAAAGUUGAUGUCUCAGGAGGUGACGAUGCCCACCAACUUGCUGCCCAUGAUGCCCGUCUCAGUGAUCGGGAUGCCAGAGAAGCCAUGCCACAUCUUGGCCUCCAGCACAUCACCCAUGGUGUGCGAGGGGCUCAGCACCACGGGGUCGGUGAUGAAGUCCCCCUGUUCAAACUUCUUGACUUUCCACACUGCUUGGCCGGGAACUCUGGGGUGCGGCUGUGGUGAAUGAGACCAACCUCUCCCAUUAGAGCCAUCGCAAUGGCCAUGUCAGCCUCUGUCACAGUGUCCAUGGGGGAGGAGAUCAGAGGCAUCUUCAGUGUGAUCUUCCAGGUCAGGACUGAGGUCAGGUCUACCUCAUCAGCUGUGAAGUCUAUGAAUCCUGGGAGAAUCAGGACAUCGUUGUAGGCGAGGCCCUCAGCGCUGGUGAAGAGCUGCUGCAGGGUGAGCCCGUCCUCAGGCACGUAGCAGGUGCCUCAGCUGAUCAGAUAGUCCACCACGCUGCCGCGAGACCCCGCGAGCCCACGUAGACACCCGCGCAGCCGCCGCCGCUGCU